UACGUAGGGUGCGAGCGUUAAUCGGAAUUACUGGGCGUAAAGCGUGCGCAGACGGUUGCGUAAGUCAGAUGUGAAAGCCCCGGGCUCAACCUGGGAAUUGCAUUUGAGACUGCGUAGCUAGGGUGCGGAAGAGGGAAGCGGAAUUUCCGGUGUAGCGGUGAAAUUCGUAGAUAUUCGCAAGAACACCAGUGGCGAAGGCGGCUCACUGGCCCGGUACUGACGCUGAGGUGCGAAAGCGUGGGGAGCAAACAGG
rnacentral:rRNA from 1 species